UUCCAAAGCGUGUAAUAUUGUGAAAUUCAAUCUUUGCUGAUAUGGUAUUUCAGAAAGAUACCUUUAUUAUUUACAAUACUCACUGAACUUUAAUAAACCCUUUAUAUAACUUUCUGACUGUUAUUAUUUGUAUGUGGUGAGUGAAAUAAGAAGUCACCCUUAAGAUCCGUGUUAGCUUCGUAAAUUUACAUGCACUUUACUCUCUUUGAUAAUAAGACGUUAAUCAUUUUUAUGAUGGUUUGGCGCCUUUUACAGAGAUAAAAGUAUUUAGUAGGAUGAUAACUUGGCUUAACAUAAUUGAAGUUGCCGAUGAAUUGUUAAAUUAUUGUAUGCCUGGAAACAAAUUAGCUUGUGAAUUAU